GCGAAGAUUAAGAUGUUGAACGCACUGCUUAAGAAGUUAGAGGUGGCUGCGCUCUGUUGUUACAUGUGCCUCAAAUAUUUAAUGUUUUAGGUCUGUAAGAGUGGCUAUAGUAUUUAUUCGCUUACUAUUAUUGAUGAAAUCAAAAAAGAAAAAGGGAUUACUUUUUAGAUACCUUAUCUAAAUUCGGAUACGGUGUCAAUUUCUAAGGGCUAAACUAUGAUAAUGUGAAGAUGAAAAUGUUCU
rnacentral:lncRNA from 1 species